rnacentral:rRNA from 1 species
AGUAACACGUGGAUAAUCUGCCCUGCACAGGGGGACAACAGCUAGAAAUGGCUGCUAAUACCGCAUAAGCCUACAGCCUCGCAUGAGGGAGUAGGAAAAGAAAUUCGGUGCAGGAUGAGUCCGCGUCUGAUUAGCUAGUUGGAGGGGUAAAAGCCCACCAAGGCAGCGAUCAGUAGCCGGCCUGAGAGGGCGACCGGCCACAUUGGGACUGAGACACGGCCCAAACUCCUACGGAAGGCAGCAG